GAUGAACGCUGGCGGCGUGCCUAAUACAUGCAAGUCGAACGCACAGCGAAAGGUGCUUGCACCUUUCAAGUGAGUGGCGAACGGGUGAGUAACACGUGGACAACCUGCCUCAAGGCUGGGGAUAACAUUUGGAAACAGAUGCUAAUACCGAAUAAAACUUAGUGCCGCAUGACACAAAGUUAAAAGGCGCUUCGGCGUCACCUAGAGAUGGAUCCGCGGUGCAUUAGUUAGUUGGUGGGGUAAAGGCCUACCAAGACAAUGAUGCAUAGCCGAGUUGAGAGACUGAUCGGCCACAUUGGGACUGAGACACGGCCCAAACUCCUACGGGAGGCUGCAGUAGGGAAUCUUCCACAAUGGGCGAAAGCCUGAUGGAGCAACGCCGCGUGUGUGAUGAAGGCUUUCGGGUCGUAAAGCACUGUUGUAUGGGAAGAACAGCUAGAAUAGGAAAUGAUUUUAGUUUGACGGUACCAUACCAGAAAGGGACGGCUAAAUACGUG
rnacentral:rRNA from 1 species